GUAAGAGUGAAACAUGAGCCGGGCGUUG
rnacentral:piRNA from 1 species